AUGAGUGUGAGGUGGUAUCUCAUUAUGGUUUUUAUUUGCGUUUCCCUAAUGGUUAGAGAUGUUGAGUACCUUCUCAUAUGCUUAUUGGCCAUUUGUAUAUCUUCUUUGGAGAAAUGUCUAUUCAAAUCCUUUGCCCGUUUUUGAAUUGGGUUAUUUGGGGUUUUUGCUGUUGUUUCAGU